rnacentral:tRNA from 2 species
GGAGAGGUACCGAAGUGGUCAUAACGGGGUCGACUCGAAAUCGAUUGGAGGGCCAAAAGCUCUCACGUGGGUUCGAAUCCCACCCUCUCCGCCA